rnacentral:rRNA from 1 species
UCCGUAGGUGAACCUGCGGAGGGAUCAUUACCGAGUUAUCCAACUCCCAACCCCUGUGAAUUAUACCUUUAAUUGAUGCUUCGGCGGGACUUCGCGCCCGCCGGGGACCCAAACCUUCUGAAUUUUUUAAUAAGUAUCUUCUGAGUGGUUAAAAAAAAAUGAAUCAAAACUUUCAACAACGGAUCUCUUGGUUCUGGCAUCGAUGAAGAACGCAGCGAAAUGCGAUAAGUAAUGUGAAUUGCAGAAUUCAGUGAAUCAUCGAAUCUUUGAACGCACAUUGCGCCCGUCAGUAUUCUGGCGGGCAUGCCUGUUCGAGCGUCAUUACGCCCCUCAAGUCCCCUGCGGACUUGGUGUUGGGGAUCGGCGAGGCUGGUUUUCCAGCACAGCCGUCCCUUAAAUUAAUUGGCGGUCUCGCCGUGGCCCUCCUCUGCGCAGUAGUAAAGCACUCGCAACAGGAGCCCGGCGCGGUCCACUGCCGUAAAACCCCCCAACUUUUUAUAGUUGACCUCGAAUCAGGUAGGACUACCCGCUGAACUUAAGCAUAUCAAUAAGCGGAGGA